rnacentral:lncRNA from 1 species
AACGACAACCACUGAAUUACAGGCUCCUUACUUAAAUGUUCAUAACAUACUAAAUGUAUGUUCAUAUUGAAAUUGAUAGAAAACCAAAAAUUAGGAACUUUGGAAAUAAAGGAGGAGGGAUAGAAAAAAAACAUUUUCCUGUCCCCAAUAACCUAUGACUUAUGAUACUUUUGCUGAAAUUCUCCAGUCAUUCAGUAUUUUACAAAAUUCUUCCAACAACACUUUACAUACUUUAAACUACGC